AGCAUGUCGACAGCAUCACAGUACAUCUCCAAUCAGCAACUGUCGGAGCCAAUGCCUACGUCCUCAAAUCAGAUCAAGGCUUAAACUCGACGAGAGAGUUAUUAAAAUGAUAUUCAUCUUUAAAUAAUAAUGUAUUAGAAAUAGUGAGCUGAACAAGUUUCAAUCAGUGCUGUAGAAUGGACGAGGUUGGGCAUGAGUGGUACUUAGAUCAUGAGGAAGUAUGAAGAGUCUCUCCAGAAUUUUAAGCAGUGCGAGCACGCACAGACACGUACAAAAGUCAUGCCCAUCAUUUUCAUCUCCUUCCUCUUGAGGACUUCGAUGCUGAGUUGCCUUUUACUGGUGACACCAAACAAGACGGGCUCCCACAUUUUGAUGUCAUGAUUGGACAGAUGGGUGAGCCUGGGACCAGGUGCAGGUCAUCAUCAUUUACGGCUUACUUAAUCCAGUCCCUGGCCUCACCUCAUCGCCAGAUCAACAACUCAGCUCAACGAAUCUUUUAAAACCUGUCUGCCUGAACGCCUGCUUGCCAAUCUGCUCACCCACUGCAAAGGCUCACCUGACUGUUUCGACCCCAUCUAGUAGACGGCGUCUACCAAACCUUUCAAUAAAUUGUUGUCACUGCC